rnacentral:rRNA from 1 species
GAUGAACGCUGGCGGCGUGCCUAAUACAUGCAAGUCGAACGAAACUUCUUUAUCACCGAGUGCUUGCACUCACCGAUAAAGAGUUGAGUGGCGAACGGGUGAGUAACACGUGGGCAACCUGCCCAAAAGAGGGGGAUAACACUUGGAAACAGGUGCUAAUACCGCAUAACCAUAGUUACCGCAUGGUAACUAUGUAAAAGGUGGCUAUACUACCGCUUUUGGAUGGGCCCGCGGCGCAUUAGCUAGUUGGUAGGGUAAAGGCUUACCAAGGCAAUGAUGCGUAGCCGAAUUGAGAGGUUGAUCGGCCACAUUGGGACUGAGACACGGCCCAAACUCCUACGGGAGGCAGCAGUAGGGAAUCUUCCCCAAUGGGCGAAAGCCUGAUGGAGCAACGCCGCGUGGGUGAAGAAGGUCUUCGGAUCGUAAAACCCUGUUGUUAGAGAAGAAAGUGCGUGAGAGUAACUGUUCACGUUUCGACGGUAUCUAACCAGAAAGCCACGGCUAACUACGUG